UACUGCGGAGGUCAUUA
rnacentral:rRNA from 1 species